UACGGAGGGGGCUAGCGUUGUCCGGACUGACUGGGCGUAAAGCGUCCGCAGGUGGUCGUGCAAGUGCGCUGUGAAAGCGGCCCGCUCAACGGGCCGAGGCCAGCGCAGACUGCGCGACUCGAGGUCGGGAGAGGUCGGUGGAAUUGCCGGUGUAGUGGUGAAAUGCGUAGAGAUCGGCAGGAACACCCAGGGGGAAACCAGUGGACUGGGCAUGUGCUGACGCUCAGGUGCGAAAGCGUGGGGAGCGAACCGG
rnacentral:rRNA from 1 species